rnacentral:rRNA from 1 species
AGAGUUCAAGAGUACGUGAAACCGUUCAGGGGUAAACGGGAGAAAUCCUGAAUUCGAAAGGGGCCGGAUUCAAGUCGAUCCGACAUGUACAGGGUGCAUCCUGCCAGAUGGCGCCGGUCGCCCGCGGCGAUUCAUUUCGUUUGCGGUGUCGUUCCCGACGAUCACUCGGUGGGUUUGCAUCGCUCUGACUUCGGACGUGUGCACUUCCACCCUAGUAGAAACGUCGCGACCCGUUGGGUGCCGGUCAAAGGCCCGGGAUGGCAGCCCGUGUGUCACGUGGGGGAUCCCACGUGCGCGCGGACACCUGGUGACCCGGCCGGCUGCCCGACGGUAUAACCAGAGGAGUCGAUCCGCUGAAAGUGAAACACUGUGGUUGUGAAGCGUCCGGCCCGGCGUCGACGCGUGCGGGGAUUGAGGUGCAAACCGGGGGAGCCCGUGCGGUGCACGGCCCCGGCCCCGCUGCGUCGUCGGAUUAGCCGGUGUCCUCGGACUGGAUCGAUACUCCCGUCUGCGACGCCCACCUUCGGAUGGUCUCC